GUACACGGCGCCCGCGAACGUGGCCAGGUUCUUGCGGAAGCAGCGCAGUGUCUCCUGAGCCUCGGACU
rnacentral:SRP_RNA from 14 species